rnacentral:rRNA from 1 species
GUAGUCUCGCACAGAUGCAUAUCAAUAAGCGGAGGAAAAGAAACUAACAAGGAUUCCCUUAGUAACGGCGAGUGAAGCGGGAAGAGCUCAAAUUUGAAAUCUUCAAGGUUUUACCUUGACGAAUUGUAGUUUAAAGAAGUGUUUUCUGUUGAAGUUUUGGUAAAAGUUCUUUGGAAUAGGACAUCAUAGAGGGUGAGAAUCCCGUAUUUGACCAUUAUUUUCAGCUGUGUGAUACACUUUCAAAGAGUCGGAUUGUUUGGGAAUGUAGUCCAAAAUGGGUGGUAAAUUUCAUCUAAAGCUAAAUAUUGGCGAGAGACCGAUAGCGAACAAGUACCGUGAGGGAAAGAUGAAAAGAACUUUGAAAAGAGAGUUAAACAGUACGUGAAAUUGUCAAAAGGGAAGCGUUUGACACCAGUGUUGUUUUCUCGAAAAUCAAUUAAAAAGAGUUUGAUUUUGUUGUGUAUUGACCUUAACAGCUUGCAUUUCAAUUUUCUUGCUUUUUUUAAUGCACUUUUCGUUUAACAAGUCAACAUCAGUUUCUUUUGUUGUAAAUAGGUCAUUGGAAGGUGGCUUUCUUUUCGGAGAAAGUGUUUAUAGCCUUUGACUCCUGCAAUCGGAGAGACCGAGGUCUGCAGCGUAGAUCCUUCGGGGCUAGAUACAUUUGUGCUAAGUUAUAGCUUUUUAUAGACAACUUGUUGACUAUGAUUAGUCUUGUAGCUUACUCGCUUAUGCUAUUUUACCUACGCUUAGGAUGUUGAGCGCAUGUCUCUCUCU